AUGGGGGCAACCCUGAUGCAGCGACGCCGCGUGAGCGAUGAAGCCCUUCGGGGCGUAAAGCUCUUUCGACCGGAACGAUAAUGACGGUACCGGGAGAAGAAGCUGCGGCUAACUACGUGCCAGCAGCCGCGGUAAUACGUAGGCGGCAAGCGUUGUUCGGAGUUACUGGGCGUAAAGAGUGCGUAGGCGGUUUUCUAAGUUCGGUGUGAAAUCUCCCGGCUUAACUGGGAGGGUGCGCCGAAGACUGGGAAGCUGGAGUGUUGGAAAGGCAGGCGGAAUUCCUGGUGUAGCGGGGAAAUGCGUAUAUAUCAGGAGUAACACCGGCGGUGUAGACGGCUUGCUAGACCAUAACUGACGCUGAGGCACGAAAGCGUGUGUAGCAAACA
rnacentral:rRNA from 1 species